rnacentral:tRNA from 2 species
GGAGAGGUGUCCGAGCUGGUCGAAGGAGCACGAUUGGAAAUCGUGUGUACGUUAAAAGCGUACCGAGAGUUCGAAUCUCUCCCUCUCCGCCA